GGCGCGAGAAACGCCGCCGCCGUAAGCCUAAGGGUUCCUGGGCAAGGCUAAUCCUCCCAGGGUCAGUCGGGAGCUAAGACGAGGCCGACAGGCGUAGUCGAAUGGAUGAACGGGUCGAUAUUCCCGUACCGGCUUUCAGCCGCCAAAACCGAGGCUUGGAGUACUAACCUCCGGGUCCGGGCUUACUGCUCCUUCGGGGGCGGGAUGCCCUGGCCUGUUGGGACCGAUCCUUGUAGUAGGUCAGCGCAGGAGUGACGCAGAAGGGUAGCCGGCCGCGGAGGUGGUCUUCCGUGGUCAAGCACGCAGCCAGUCAUGUAGGCAAAUCCGCAUGGCGCGCAUGGCGAGGUGUGAUGAUGGGAGCCGUUAUGGCUCGAUAUCCGGUUGUCCAGGCCGUCGAGAAAAGCCUCGGCGUGAGGGCCAUGGCCGCCCGUACCCCAAACCGACACUGGUGGUCAGGUAGAGAAUACCAAGGCGAUCGAGCGAAUCCUGGUCAAGGAACUCGGCAAAUCACUCCCGUGCCUUCGGUAUAAGGGAGACCCACUGGGGUGAAGGACCUUGCGUCCGGAGCUUUGGUGGGUGGCACAGACCAGGGGGUAGCGACUGUUUACCAAAAACACAGGUGCAUGCGAAGGCGAAAGCCGCUGUAUAUGCACUGACGCCUGCCCGGUGCCGGAAGGUUAAGAGGAUCCGUCAGUCCCUUCGGGAUGAAGCGGUGAAUUCAAGCCCCGGUAAACGGCGGUGGUAACUAUAACCAUCCUAAGGUAGCGAAAUUCCUUGUCGGGUAAGUUCCGACCUGCACGAAUGGCGUAACGACUUCCCCACUGUCUCGACCAGGAGCUCGGCGAAAUUGCAGUACGAGUAAAGAUGCUCGUUAAGCGCAGAAGGACGAAAAGACCCCGGGACCUUUACUAUACCUUGGUAUUGGCGUUAGGCGCGGAUUGUGUAGCAUAGGCGGGAGGCUUCGAAGCGGGUGCGCCAGCAUUCGUGGAGCCGCAAGGUGAAAUACCGCUCUGUUCUCGUUUGACGUCUAACCUCGACAAGUCAUCCUUGUCAGGGACAGUGCCUGGCGGGUAGUUCAACUGGGGCGGUUGCCUCCCAAAGAGUAACGGAGGCGCUCAAAGGUCCGCUCAGCCCGGUUGGCAAUCGGGUGUCGAGUGUAAUCGCACAAGCGGGCUUGACUGCGAGGACGACGGUCCGAGCAGGGACGAAAGUCGGAGAUAGUGAUCCGGUGCCGGCGCACGGGCGCGGCAUCGCUCAACGGAUAAAAGGUACUCCGGGGAUAACAGGCUGAUCAUUCCCAAGAGUCCAUAUCGACGGGAUGGUUUGGCACCUCGAUGUCGGCUCGUCGCAUCCUGGGGCUGGAGCAGGUCCCAAGGGUUCGGCUGUUCGCCGAUUAAAGUGGCACGCGAGCUGGGUUCAGAACGUCGUGAGACAGUUCGGUCCCUAUCUGUUGCGGGCGUAAGAGAUUUGAAGGGAGCUGUCCUUAGUACGAGAGGACCGGGAUGGACGUACCUCUGGUGCACCAGUUGUCCUGCCAAGGGCAUAGCUGGGUAGCUAUGUACGGACGAGAUAAACGCUGAAAGCAUCUAAGCGUGAAACUCUCCCUAAGAUGAGAUCUCUCAUCCUUUAUGGAGUAAGGGCCCAGAAAGACGAUCUGGUUGAUAGGCCGGAGGUGGAAGUGCAGUAAUGUAUGCAGCUGACCGGUACUAAUAGCCCGAGGGCUUGACCU
rnacentral:rRNA from 1 species